rnacentral:sRNA from 1 species
GUCAGGUGUGGUAGCACACACCUGUAAUCCCAGCAGCUCUGGAGGCUGAGACAGGAGGAUUGUGAGCUCAAAGCCAGCAACUAUGAGGCGCUAAGCAACUCAGUGAGACCCUGUCUCUA